AAAAAAAGGACUCGAACCCAUUCUUUGAAGAUCAAAACUUCAAGUGCAUCCAUUACACUACUUUUUA
rnacentral:tRNA from 1 species